AUUGAACGCUGGCGGCAGGCCUAACACAUGCAAGUCGAGCGGAUGAAGGGAGCUUGCUCCUGGAUUCAGCGGCGGACGGGUGAGUAAUGCCUAGGAAUCUGCCUGGUAGUGGGGGAUAACGUCCGGAAACGGGCGCUAAUACCGCAUACGUCCUGCGGGAGAAAGUGGGGGAUCUUCGGACCUCACGCUAUCAGAUGAGCCUAGGUCGGAUUAGCUAGUUGGUGGGGUAAAGGCCUACCAAGGCGACGAUCCGUAACUGGUCUGAGAGGAUGAUCAGUCAAACUGGAACUGAGACACGGUCCAGACUCCUACGGGAGGCAGCAGUGGGGAAUAUUGGACAAUGGGCGAAAGCCUGAUCCAGCCAUGCCGCGUGUGUGAAGAAGGUCUUCGGAUUGUAAAGCACCUUAAGUUGGGAGGAAGGGCAGUAAGUUAAUACCUUGCUGUUUUGACGUUACCAACAGAAUAAGCACCGGCUAACUUCGUG
rnacentral:rRNA from 1 species